rnacentral:lncRNA from 1 species
GGAAUUGAAGCAGGGUAACCGGUCUGUUACGGAGUAUGCUGCUAAGUUCACAGAGUUGUCUAAGUAUUAUACUCCCUAUGCUGAGGCUGCUGGGGAAUUUUCCAAGUGUGUGAAGUUUGAGAACGGGUUGCGUCCCGAGAUCAAGCAGGCGAUUGGAUAUCAGAGGAUUAGAGUGUUUUCUGAUUUGGUUGACUGUUGCAGGAUUUUCGAACAGGAUUCCAAGG